GGCGGGGGGGUUGGGGUGUUCUCGGUCGCUUGAGAGGUAUUCGCCGCGGUGAGGAGAACCAUGGGUCAGGCGGCGAAGGUUUUACACCUCUUUAAAACAUUGCACAGGACCAGACAACAGGUUUUUAAAAAUGAUUCUAGAGCAUUAGAAGCAGCCAGAAUAAAAAUAAAUGAAGAGUUCAGAAGUAAUAAAAGUGAAACUUGUCCUAAGAAAAUAGGAAAGCUAAUAAAAAUAGGUGCCGAUGUUGAAUUGUUACUCAGAACAUCUGUUAUACAAGGUAUUCAUACAGACCACAGUACACUGAAUGCAAGACAACAGCAGCAAUGAGAACAAAAACCACACAUGAAGGGUAGCAGAGCAGGAAGAAAAAGAGCCUGGAUUCUUAAUGAAUUGAUCCCCAGGAAAGACCUUCUUAUAGAAAAUGUGCCAUAUUAUGAUGCACCUACUCAGAAGCAAUGAAUUUUCUAGGAUGAAAUCAAGUCUUUGUAAUGUUUUCUCUGACCUGGCAUUUUGGCAGUGAAUUAAUUUAAGUAUAGUUUUAUAAUUAAAUUUCAGGUUAGGACAUUGCUUAAAAUGCAGAACAUAGUUAAAAGUGUUUCUAAAGAGCAUUAGGUAAGACAUUUCAUUUUCAUUGAAAACCAAACUUUAAAAAGUUAAAUAUAUGCUUAGGGAGGGAUAUCAUAUUCAGUUCUCUUUGGCCUUGAUGAGUAUUUUGGUUUUACCAUAACUAUUUGAGAAUGCAGUGUUUUGACAAUUUGGUGGGUUUUCCUCCCAUGUAAAGUGAAUCUGUCAGAUUAAAAUUACUGGCUUAAAAUAAUGUCCCCAAUCAUUAAAUUUGUCAAAGAAUUUCAGUGUGUGCCAACUCUCCAUAGAAGGUGGGUUUUGUUUCCUAAAGCACUGAAAUUGUUUUUGUAGCUAAAAAAUAAUGAUACAGUUUCCUUUUAAAAAUAGUAUCUUUGUGUUUCUAUAAAAACAUUUUAAAAUUAGUCUUCUAAAGAUAGAUGAAUAAAAUAUCAAAAUUACCUAGGAUCACUGUGUGAUAAAAUAAUUCUAAAUUUUUUAGGAAAUAGUGGCCCUUGAUCAAACUAUAUUCUGUAGCCUUAGUAGGAUUAGCUGUACUUACACCAGAGUUAGACUUUAUUGUGAAUAUGUAAUAUGUGGCUGCAUUCUUUUAAUUUUAACCAAUUAAAUUUAAAUGUCUUUUCUUCUUCCUCAUGUCCCAUUCCUGAGAAGAUUGGCAGUAUUACAAAACAGCUUGUCAUUCUACCAUCUAAUGGUAGGAACUCAUAAAAUUGUAUUUAAUGUUCUUCUUGUUUCACUUUUGUCUUGCAUCUUUACCAUUCUGUUUUCUCAAUGAACAGUGUGUUCUGUCCUUUUCACUGAUCAUUUCUCCCAUUCGAUGAAUACCUUGACAGAGUUUUUCAUUUUUACAAGAUUCUCAGUGCAAGCUUUGUUUGUUGGCAGACAUAUUGGUAUAGCAAUACUGGAUAUAAAAUGUCAUAUUUUAAAGUAAUUUAAUUUUAGGAGAUCAAAAAAUUAUCAAAAUCAUUUAGACAUAUAGUCAGUAUUCUACUGGGUAAACUACAUCUAUAUAGUGUUUAUUUUGUAACCCACUUACAGAAUUUUAAGAAUGAUGACUAUCUUAAGUACCUAACUUCUCUUUGGUACAUGUCAACAUUUAAUUAAAUAUUUUUAAUUUAGUUUAAAAAAAAAGCUUCUCAUAUUUCCCCAAGGAAGUUGCCCACUUCUAACAUUUCCUUUUGACUACUGAAAUCUUGUGAAAGUGGGUUUUACAAAUUCUAAGUGCAGAUAUCUAGGCUCAGAGGCUCAGCAUGACUGUGUGAAACAAUCUUUUGGCAGAAGUUAGAAAGAGUGAAUGGCAGGAGAAUCAUAUUUGUCAAGUGUGUGAGGAAAGAAUCCUUCACUGAUGAUUUGAAGCUGGAGGAAUAUAUGACAGAUAGUUUGCAUAACAUCUAAUUUGGAACAUUAAAAUUAAGAUUUAACUCAAAUAGUGUUUAAGUUGGUUCUUAUUUUAUCUGCAGUUUCAUUUCUUAAUAUUAGUACAGUGUCCAAAAAGCACACGAUAAUGAGAAUAAAUGGAACUUCUAUGCUCAUGGACAAAAUAAACCAUUUAGUUGUAAACACAAUGAAUGCCAUAUGUCAACAAAGAAAUGAAAAUUCCAAUUCUUAAGUAGAGUUUUAUAAAGCAAAAGUAAUAAAUACAAAAUUAAUAUAACUUUGCUAUAUAUCAGCUAUAACCAAUUAGAAAAUAAAUGGAAAAAUUCUGCUUAUAAUAGUAAACUAUAAAAUAGGAAUGGACUUUUUAGAAAACCUGAAAAACUUAAAUAUUAAGGACGCACUGUAUUCUUAGAUGGGACAGCUGAAAAUUAUGGAGAUAACAGUUCCUUAAGUGUAAUCGAGCAAAAUCCCAACAGAUUGACAAAUAGAUCUGUAUAAAAAAUACAAUAAAACAUCUGUCUUCUGUAAAAACCACUAUAAAUAGUUCAGAGAAAAUACUUUCCACUAAAGUAAUGAUUAAAAUAGUUAAUAUAUAAGGUGCUCCUGUGGCUUAUUUAGCAACAAGUAACUCAGUAGGAAAAUGGGCAAAUGAUAGAAAUAAGAAAGAAGAAAUAUUAAACUUCUGUAAUGAUCAGAGAAAUAUAAAUUAAAAUGAAACAUUUUUGUUCAUCAAAUUUAUAGAAGUUAAAGAAAUUGAUUGUGUCCAGUAUUUGCAAAGGUGGAAGAAUGUGGAAAUAGGUACUCUCUUGUAUUUCUGGAAGAAAUGUAAGUUAUAGGACCUUUUUGAAGGAAAGUUGACAUCAAAAUUUGAAAUAAACAUACUAUUCAGUCUAUAUUUUCAAGAACUGUAAGGAUACUAAUAAAUGUACACUCAGAUGUAUAUACAGAAAUUUCUGUAGCAUUGGUUAUAAUUUUUAGAAAUUGAUAACAGCCUAAAUUUCCAAACAUAGAGGAACAGUUAAAGAAAGUGUGUCUCAUCUGUACAGUGGGAUAUUAAAAAGGAAUUGAAAAAAAUGGCAAAAUAUCUAGUCUAGAAAGAAGCAAGUCACAAAGUAUAUGUUCUCUAUGAAUUCACUUAUAUACAAAACAACUAUUUUUGCUCAUAUCAUAUAUAUAUGCAUAUAUAUGUACAAAGGCAUAGAAAUAAUAUGUGCUAAAUGUUAGUAGACAGGGAGGUAAAUGAGAUUUAUGGAAGGAGACAAGUAAAUUGAGAACUGAUACUCCUGCAUGUUUAAAUAUUUUUUACAGUGAGUAUAUCAACAUAUAAAUUUUAAAGGACUACUCCUAAGCUAUUAGUGCUUUUUUUUAAAAUUCUCAAUUAUGAAAUAUUUCAAAUAUUAGCAAUUAGUAUGUCAGACACUAGUGAAUGCCCACAUUUGACAGAUGUUACAUUUUGCAUUAUUUGUUUAAAGAUCUCCUUCCUUUUAAGUCAAAAAAUCUUAUAAAGCUUAAGUCCUACCUCCCUUUUCUUUCUCCUGACUCAUUUCAGGGAUAGUCACUGUUUUACAGUUGGAGGAUAUUAUCCCCAUACUUGUUUUUAUGCUUUUACCAAAUGUGUAUUAUUCAAAACAUUAUAUAGUAUAUGUAACAUAUAUAGCGUGUAUAGAUAUUAAAAAUAUAAUAUAAUAUAUAUAUGACAUUAUAUAGUACAAUAUAAUAGCGUAUAUAUAUAUAAUAGUUUUGUUUUGCGGUUUCAAAUGUUAAGUGAAUGGUAUUAUGCUCCAUGUAUUCUGCCGCUUAGUUUUCAUCAUACAGUAGGUUUUAGAAAUGUAUGUGUAUUGUUGCAGAAAUAUCUAGGUCUUUCACUUUUAUCUUUUAUUCCUUUGUAAGAAUAAACUAUAUUGUUUAUCCAUGUCUCUUGAUAAA